rnacentral:lncRNA from 1 species
UGUCAGCACCGACACCCAAGACAACGUGGGAGCAGGCAACAAAGCUGGUGGCGAGCCAGAGGAAGGAGCUGCUACACGGACGCCACGGGUGAAACGCCGGAGCGUGAGAGUUUCUGGGCCGGAAUGGGCCGUGUAAGGCCGGAUGGGCCGUAUUGUAAUGAAGUGGUAUAAAUAAUCAGACCCUAGGAACGAUCGUGGGCAUGAUGAAACAGAAGAAGAUAAUAUACUACCUCUGGUGGCUGGCUGUUCUGGCCGCCGCCUCCUCCCCAGGCUUCUUCUUCUACCUCUGAUUCUCCCCUCUGCUGCUCCCUUCUCCACCACACGCUAACAAUCUGGUAUCAGACUCAGGCACUCUGGAUCCCAGUACCAACUGUCCACGGCGUACUCGUGCCACCUCCGCAGCUAUGGAGUACACCGACGCCAGUAACCAUCAGGUGCUCGAGGAAAUGCGCCUGAUGGAAGCGCGGCUCUCCGAGAAGUUCGCCGGACGCUGCGACAACAUCGAACGGCGUGUUGAGGAUAUCCACUCCCACUUCACGACGCGCUGUGACAAGAUCCAGGAGCAGGUCGACGUGGCGGCUCUCCGCGGCGACGACUGUCUCGUGGCGCUGGAGGAAAUGCGCUCCGACAUUGAGCGCUGGCGUCCGGAUCUGGUCAAGCGUGUCGAGGACGUCGCCCUCGAGGUUCUGCGCGUCAACAAGUUCCUCGAGCGGGAGCGUCGAGCCGACUCCAUCGACAAACCGGGCAUCUUCGGUUCCGGUACGGAGGCGCCCCUUCGCGCGGCGACAGUACCACAACGCGUCGCGGCCGCGCCACCACCUGUCCCAGGGCCGUAUGGCCACCGUCAAGAACCAUACCACCGGGAGCGUGAGUAUGGGUAUGAAUUUACCCCAUCUCACGGCCCGGUCAAGGGUACGCAUCCUCCCCAUCCUAAUCGCCUCUCUAGAUUCAUGCCUGAGCAGUAUUAUCCGUAUGAAUCGGGACGCGACAUAGGACGCUCGACGCCUGGUCGUUUGCCUCAGAUUAGCUUUCCUCGCUUUGACGGUUCACACCAACAACUGUGGCGAGUUCAAGCUGAGAAUUACUUUGAGAUGUACGAAACUGAAUACCACAUGUGGGUCAAGGUAGCGUCAAUGCACUUUGAGGGAAAGGCUCAUCGCUGGUUGCAGUCCGUAGAGCGUCGUUUACGUUUCAUGUCAUGGGAAGAAUUUUGUGAGCUCAUUCAUGAGAGAUUUGGUAGGGAGCAACAUGAAUCACUGAUUAGACAGCUGUUUCAUAUCAGGUAGCUAGGUCCUGUUUCCGAGUAUGUAGAACAAUUCGCGUCACUAGUGGAUGAGUUAGCAGCAUAUGAAUCUCGCACCGAUCCAUUGUAUUACACUAUGCGUUUCAUUGAUGGUCUUAGACAUGACAUUAAGGCUGUAAUUAUGGUUCAGCGUCCCCCCAACCUCGAUGUUGCCUGCGCUCUGGCUCUUGUGCAGGAAGAGGCGUUGGAAUCCACAAGACGCCGACGGGUCGAGCCUAUUUCCAACCGGAUGGCUUGGCCUCACACAGCAACGACGACUGAUCAUGAUCGUGCUGAUGGCGUAACUCCAGGAGUUGAUAAGCCGGUGACGGACGGCCGCCGGCUGGGUUCAUCAACAGAUCGUGUCGCUUCAUUGAAGAGUUAUCGUCGCGCCCAAGGCCUCGGUGAUCGCUGUGCAGAAAAGUGGUUCAGAGGACACAAAUGUCCCAAUACUGUGCAACUACAAGUUAUUGAGGAGGUUUGGGAUUUGCUGGAUGAGCCAGCCGACAGUGAAGCCGUGCAAGACAGUCAACCUCAAUUGCUGAUGACACUGUCUGAUGCAGCGUGGACAGGGAAAGAGGCAGUCUCCACAUUGCGUUUUCAGGGCAAUAUUCAACAGCGGCCUUUGAUGAUACUUAUUGAUUCUGGGUCGACCCAUUCAUUUAUUAGCAACCGAUUUUUGUCACUGUUGACAGGCAGCCAACCAUUGCAUCGUCCAAUGGCAGUCAGAGUGGCUAAUGGACAACUCAUUACUUGCUCUCAACAUUUACCACUGGCCACUUGGUCUAUGGCCACUUUCCAGUUCAUUUCUGAUUUCAUUUUUUUACCUCUUCCCUCAGUGGAUUUAGUGGUGGGCAUGGAUUGGCUUCAGCAUUAUAGUCCCAUGCAUAUUGAUUGGUAUCACAAGUGGAUUACUAUUCCUUAUCAGGGCACCUCAGUCUGUCUUCAAGGAAUGCGGUCGACGUUACCAGUGGGCGCGGUGAUUGAACUGAGGUUGUUUUCUGACUCUCCAACACCAACCAGCGACCGACAACAAAUUCCUACCGACGACAGGGUGCAGGCAGUGCUCUCCCAAUUCACAGAAGUUUUUGAUGACCCGGUUGGCUUGCCUCCUACCCGACAGUGUGAUCAUGCCAUUCCAUUGUUGCCAGGCGCCAAUCCUUUUGCUGUGCGUCCGUAUCGUUAUCCACCAGCGCUCAAGGAUGAGAUUGAGACGCAGGUGAAACAAAUGCUGGACCAAGGAGUAAUUCAGAAAAGUCAUAGUCCGUUCUCAUCCCCAGUUUUAUUAGUGAAGAAAAAGGAUCGGACAUGGAGAUUUUGUGUCGACUACCGUUAUCUCAAUGUUAUCACAGUAAAAGGAAAAUAUCCAGUUCCGGUAUUUGAUCAGUUAAUCGACGAACUCACUCAAGCUAAGUGGUUCAGCAAGCUAGACUUGAAGGCUGGUUAUCAUCAAAUCCGAUUGAGACCAGGCGAAGAACCAAAAACAGCCUUUCAAACGCAUUUGGGACAAUUUGAGUUUCGGGUAAUGGCUUUCGGACUCACUGGAGCUCCCAACACUUUUCUGGAAGCCAUGAAUACCACUUUAGCACCAGUCUUAUGUAAAUGUGCCCUGGUAUUCUUCGAUGACAUUCUUAUAUAUAGCCCCACUUUUGAUUCUCAUUUGACGCAUUUGUCAUCGGUAUUUCAAUUGCUUUGGAAAGAUCAGUGGAAAGUAAAGUUGUCCAAAUGUGAAUUUGCUCAAACCAGUAUUUCCUACCUCGGCCAUAUAAUCAGUGCACAGGGUGUCUCAACAGAUCCCGACAAGAUAACUGUGGUGCAACAAUGGCCUACACCAGCAAAUAGCAAAGAGUUGCGCAGUUUUCUGGGACUCGCGGGUUUCUAUCGUAAGUUUGUAAGACAUUUUGGCAUGAUAUCCCGUCCUCUGACUGAUCUGUUAAAGAAGAAUGUGCUAUUUAUUUGGACUGUGGAACACCAAAAAGCCUUUGAGUUACUCAAGCAGGCGUUAAGUUCAGCACCUGUCCUUGCUUUGUCGGACUUCGCAGUUCCCUUCUGCAUUUAUACGGAUGCCUGCAACACUAGUGUUGGCGCAGUUCUCAUGCAGCGAGGCCAUCCACUUGCCUUUCUCAGCAAAUCUCUGGGACCCAAAAAUCAAGGACUCUCAACAUAUGAAAAAGAGUAUUUGGCCAUUCUAAUUGCAGUGACGCAGUGGCGAUCAUAUUUACAGCUGGCUGAGUUUCAUAUUUAUACUGACCAUCAAAGCCUGGUGCAAUUAAAUGAACAGCGACUCCAUACUGUUUGGCAACAGAAGUUAUACGUUAAGCUGGCUGGUUUGCAAUAUCGCAUCAUUUUAUAAAAAGGGCUGCGAUAAUAUGGCUGCUGAUGCUCUCUCUCGGGUUCCGACAGAGGGGCAAGUCAUGCAUAUUUCUCAGGGUACUCCACUAUGGAUCCAAGGGGUUGUUGCAAGCUACAAUGAUGAUCCGCAGGCGCAGGACCUCUUGACCAAACUGUCUGUAUCCGCAACCGCUGCUGCUCCAUACACCCUAUCUCAGGGAAUCAUUCGUUAUAAAGGACGCGUGUGGCUGGGGAGUAGCCCGGAUAUACAACGCCAAAUCAUUUCGGCCCUUCAUGAUUCACCUAUUGGCGGCCACUCAGGUUUUCCAGUGACUUACAGCAGAAUUAAACAUCUGUUCUAUUGGAAAGGAAUGAAACAAGCAGUGCGAAAUUAUGUUCAGUCGUGCAGCACCUGCCAACAGGCCAAACCAGAUAGAUCUCGUUAUCCAGGACUGCUGGCUCCUCUACCGGUUCCUCCUCAUGCGUGGCAUUCCAUUUCCAUGGACUUCAUUGAGGGACUUCCGAGGUCUGGUACAGUGGAUUGUAUACUGGUGGUAGUGGACCGUUUUUCCAAGUAUGGACACUUUCUAGCUUUGUCUCACCCCUUUUCAGCCCCCAAAGUCGCCAAACUCUUUUUGAAUCAGGUUUAUCGACUACAUGGUAUGCCAGACAACAUUGUGUCCGACCGUGAUCGUGUCUUCACCAGCGCCUUUUGGCAGCAACUGUUUACAUUGUCCGGCACACAACUUUGCAUGAGUUCAUCGUAUCACCCGCAAUCGGAUGGUCAGACGGAAAGGGUGAACCAAUGUAUUGAGACAUACCUCAGAUGUUUCGUCCAUGCUUGCCCUAGCAAAUGGAGUCACUGGCUACCGCUAGCUGAAUUCUGGUACAACACCAACUCUCAUUCCUCGCUAGACCGAUCCCCAUUUGAGGUGUUAUAUGGGCAUCCUCCUAAACACUUCGGUCUACAUCACAACUCAGCUAUUCUUGUGACAGAUCUGGAUCAAUGGAUGCAGGAAAGGGAAGUGGUUUCAAAACUAGUCCAGCAGCACCUCCUCAGAGCUCAAAGUCGCAUGAAGAAGUAUGCUGACCAGCACCGAUCUGAGCGAGUUUUCUCUGUUGGCGAUCGCGUAUAUCUCAAAUUACAACCUUAUGUUCAGUCCUCGGUGACCCGACGCUCCAAUCAAAAACUAGCUUUCCGAUAUUUUGGCCCAUAUACCAUUUCACAGCGUGUGGGUGCUGCUGCUUACAAACUACAAUUACCUGAUUCAGCUCAAAUUCAUCCAGUUUUUCAUGUCUCGCAGCUGAAAGCGGUAAUCAGCAGACAUCAAGUGGUAGCUGCUUCGCUCCCUGUUCAUCCUGAUGCCCUCCAGAUACCUAUUCAGGUGUUACAAAGCAGGCUGAUACAAAAGGGCGGCGCGACGGUGGCGCAAGUCAAAGUACUGUGGUCCGACAUGGAUGAGUCCUUGGCAACCUGGGAAGACUUGAAGGCACUCAAAGACAGGUUUCCACACGCGCCGGCUUGGGGACAAGCGACGUUUCAAGAGCGGGGGAAUGUCAGCACCGACACCCAAGACAACGUGGGAGCAGGCAACAAAGCUGGUGGCGAGCCAGAGGAAGGAGCUGCUACACGGACGCCACGGGUGAAACGCCGGAGCGUGAGAGUUUCUGGGCCGGAAUGGGCCGUGUAAGGCCGGAUGGGCCGUAUUGUAAUGAAGUGGUAUAAAUAAUCAGACCCUAGGAACGAUCGUGGGCAUGAUGAAACAGAAGAAGAUAAUAUACUACCUCUGGUGGCUGGCUGUUCUGGCCGCCG